GGCGGACGGGUGAGUAAUGUCUGGGAAACUGCCUGAUGGAGGGGGAUAACUACUGGAAACGGUAGCUAAUACCGCAUAACGUCGCAAGACCAAAGAGGGGGACCUUCGGGCCUCUUGCCAUCAGAUGUGCCCAGAUGGGAUUAGCUAGUAGGUGGGGUAANGGCUCACCUAGGCGACGAUCCCUAGCUGGUCUGAGAGGAUGACCAGCCACACUGGAACUGAGACACGGUCCAGACUCCUACGGGAGGCAGCAGUGGGGAAUAUUGCACAAUGGGCGCAAGCCUGAUGCAGCCAUGCCGCGUGUAUGAAGAAGGCCUUCGGGUUGUAAAGUACUUUCAGCGGGGAGGAAGGUGUUGCGGUUAAUAACCGCAGCAAUUGACGUUACCCGCANAAGAAGCACCGGCUAACUCCGUGCCAGCAGCCGCGGUAAUA
rnacentral:rRNA from 1 species